rnacentral:rRNA from 1 species
UACGUAGGGGCUAGCGUUAUCCGGAAUUACUGGGCGUAAAGGGUGCGUAGGUGGUUUCUUAAGUCAGAGGUGAAAGGCUACGGCUCAACCGUAGUAAGACCUUUGAAACUGGGAAACUUGAGUGCAGGAGAGGAGAGUGGAAUUCCUAGUGUAGCGGUGAAAUGCGUAGAUAUUUAGGAGGAACACCAGUUGCGAAGGCGGCUCUCUGGACUGUAACUGACACUGAGGCACGAAAGCGUGGGGAGCAAACAGGAUUAGAUACCCCCGUAGUCCCUGAGCGGG